UGGGGGACAACCCCACAUCCUCAAUAAACAAAUAACCAACAAACAUACCUAGAUGGUGCAGAUUCUUUUCAGCCGUCAGUUAGAAAAAAUUAGUGCAAUUUUUAUUCUUUCUUCAAUUAACUGUUCUGCAGUCGUUCUUGCUGUUUCAUCACAGCUGACAAGCCCUUCGUAUGCCCUUGGAUGAUCGAACAGCGCAGGAUCUCGCGUGCAGUGACCACAUAUAUCCUGUAAGCGCGUGUUAAGGAACUUCUGGUUGCUGGAGCCUUCGCAGAGGCCGUCUAGAGUAAGGCGGGACUUCAUUUAAUAAACUCACACCAACGUUUAAAAUACGAACUUUGUCAUGUACGCACCAGAUCGUCAUGUACGCACUAGAUCGUCAUGUACGCACUUGAUUGUUAUGCACGCACUAGUUCGUCAUGUACGCACUUGAUCGUCAUGUACGUACUUGA